rnacentral:rRNA from 1 species
UACGGGGGGGGCAAGCGUUGUUCGGAAUUACUGGGCGUAAAGGGCGCGUAGGCGGCCUUCUAAGUCGGACGUGAAAUCCCUCGGCUUAACCGAGGAACUGCGUCCGAUACUGAAAGGCUUGAAUCCGGGAGAGGAAUGCGGAAUUCCAGGUGUAGCGGUGAAAUGCGUAGAUAUCUGGAGGAACACCGAUGGCGAAGGCAGUCCCCUGGGCCUGUACUGACGCUCAUGCACGAAAGCGUGGGGAGCAAACAGG